UGACAAAGCACGAUUCACACGCUUGGACCCGAUCACGGCACGAUCGAGAACGGCACAUCCGGUCGGACACCGUCUCCGUCCCGCUUCAGGAUCCGCGCACAUCUCUAAGCACACUGUAGUACAGUGGAGUGGUGUUGGUAGAGAAGAAGAAGCCUUGCACGCUUCGACGCGCACGCACACAUACACCUUUUUUGUUGGAGCCAAAGGAGAGCCACAAGAAGAAGUACAACACACACACCCGUGCAAAACAUUAGAAGUGUUGUAGCUCCCCUCGUUUGCAAGUGAAUCAAUCCGAUCCGCACUGACGACGUUUUGCACGCACGCGUUCACGACGCGCGUCGAUCAAAAUUCGAUCCGAUGGUUCCCCUUUUUUGUUGUUGUUGUUUUCGGUACAGCACGCCAAACCAGCCAAACCAACCACCAGCACCCGAGGAAGCCGUACCCGCGUGUGUGUACAUCGAAUCGCGUACUGACGAACCGGCGGCAACCGGCGGAGUGGCCAAGCGAGUGUGAGCCAGCGCGCGCGCGCACACACACUCUCGCGCGCCCCUUACUCUCUCGCCAGCCGUCUAAAAUAAACCAAAUUUGAUGCCACCUUCGUGGCACUAAGUAGACAGCAGACAUCAGGGUCCGAAAUGAAAAGCCCCCUCCGCCACCGGAAACCAUUUAGCCGUCGUGCUAAAAAUGCUAUGUACCAGAGCGAUAUUGACCCGACGGCGGUCACGGUGAAGGACAGCGAUUAUGUGAUGCUCCCCAUGGGGAGGACCCGCCGGCAUUUGGCAAAAUAUGCUAAUCACGGACGGAUUUUGAUUAUAAAGUUCGUUGCUCCAUCCCCCUCCCACCCACUACUGGGAGAGGGACAGGGUGAACGGGUAAUUGUUCUUAGCAGUCUGGGUAAAUGAGCCCGGCUUAAUGCGUCACCCAUCAUGCUCGGUGCUAAAGAAGGUAAAACUUACUUAUGCUUUCGUUGUAGUUAACUCACAAGCGUUUAAGACAAAAGUGGUAUUACAUACAGUGGCAAUAGUCACGUCCAAAAAGCUUGACAACAAAUGGAAACCAAACCGUUUUUUUUUUGCUCUCCAUCCUAUUGCACUCUUCUCAUCGGUGCUUUUACUCACUGCGCGGAGGUCGCGAAUUCGAUCGAACUAAUUAUUGUUCGCAUACUCUAUGAAAAAGAUGCCCAUUUUGUGCGCAAGCACUAAACUGGAAAGUAGGGCAACGGGAAAUGCAUAACGCAAGCUAAAGAAAAAGGGAAAACGAACGUUCACUUUCGGCGGGGUUUGGAUGAAGAAAACGU